GCCACUAAGUCUAUGGUAUUCUGUGCUAGCAGCCUGAAAUGGACUAAGACAUCCCAUAAGCAGAGGAGAUGAAGAUUCAGACGCACACAGAGGGACGACCCUGUGAGAACACAGGGAGAAGACAGUGUCUACAACCCCAGGAGAGACGCCUCAGGAGGAACCAGCCCUGCCCACACCUUGAUCUCAGAUUUCUAGCCUCCAGGACUGUGGGAAAUAAGUAUAUAUUGUUUAAGUCACCCAGUCUGUGGUGAUUUGUUAUGGAGGCUUUAGCCAAGUAAUAUACUCCUCAAAACCCUAUUUCUAUUGGGAGAUUUCUAUUGGAAGGAAGAUUCAGAGUGCAAAUUUGUAGUAUCCCUGCUGAUCUAUCUCCUAAAUGAAACACAUCAUUCCCAAGCACUUGUCUUUGUGCGAAGAUCCAUUUUGCAACCAACCAUAUAUAAUGUGUGAGGCCUUUUCACAAGACUGGCUUAAUUAAAAAUUCACAUCCUCCUGACAUCUUAAAUAUAAGAGCAGUAAGAUAUGCAGCUUUAACAGUUUGUAGUGGCUGGGAUUUUGAGGAGGGAUGUUUUGUCGUUAGCUUGGGAAAAUAGGUUCUACUGACAUCUGUUCAGCUUAGCUAUUAUUGUUCUUUUUUGUUACAGAAGUAAAACGGGGAAUUUUUUAGAAACACGUCAAUUACCUUUGAUUUUGUGUCAUAUACAGAAGGGAAUGUUUUUAUUCCUGCAAACCCCAUAAAAGCCAGUGAUGCAUUUUCAUAGCCCUCUCUUGGCAGAAAACUGCCUUUGAAAUUUCUGGAUCAAGAACGUAUUAUUUUCUGAUGGCUUUUUUUUUUUUUUUUUCUGGUGAUGUAUCUCAAAAGCUUCAACUUUUCCCCUCCUGUUAGCAGAAUACAGGGGAUCCGGUACCGAAUGCAGCAUCUACCAACCACAGGCACUGGAUGUAACUAUGCUUUGAAUUUUGAAGGUCCCUGAUAAGACAUCUUUGAGGUCAGGCAUAAAUCAUCACUUCACAUCUUGACGGCAAUGCAACGAAGACAAGUAUCUGUCUCUUUGGGUCUGUCUAACAAGGAGCAAAGCCUGGCCUCCCACCAGCAUCCAGACAAUAGUGGAUUCCCUCUCCAUAGAUGUCAAAAAAGAAACAGAUGCUCCCGCAGGUGAAAUGAGCUCUGGUCCACAAUGCAACGCAGGCUGUGCAGAAAAUCAAAGAGGAACCAACCCAGAAGUAUCCCCCAGGACAAAUCAUUAAGGGGGAAAAGGUCUCUGCAAAUGUAAUGAGUCCAGACACCAAGGGAAACGGAGAAGAUAAGAAGCAGAGAUUGAGGUAAUGCGUCCACCAGCCAAGGAGCACCAAGACGUGCUGGCGACCACCAGAUGCUAGCGGGGAGACCUGGAACAGAUUCUCCCUCAAAGCCUCCAGAAGUAAACCAACUCUGUAGACACCUUCAUUUCAGACUUCUGGUCUCCAGAGCUGUGAGAGAAUCCAUUUCUGUUCAUUGCAGCCACUUUUUUCUUUUCUUCCUUCUUUCUUUUCUUUUUUCUUUC
rnacentral:lncRNA from 1 species